CUUACAAUCAAUUGGAAUCAAACGCCUCCAUGUGCUCUCCUGUAACUAAUGCAGAAUGCUAUUCACCCAUCUAAAAUAAUAAUAAUAAUAAUCUCAUUGAUUUCAACCACAGUACUCUGACACAGUAAAAUUUAAUUUGAGGGAAAAAAGUGGGGACACGUAGCCGAACCUUCGCAAAGAUAUCAUCCAUCCAUGGGCCACGAUCGUCGAAAUUAUUUCAUUCAUCCAUGCGAAAACCGAGGGCGCCGCCUUUACCUCCAUCAUGAUCACCACGGAGAGAGCCUGUUAUCGCGCCCAGUUCGGGGAUUCCCACCCCCACAGCGCCAGAUAUGAUGACCCUAAAGAUUACGCCACGUGGAAUCCCU
rnacentral:lncRNA from 1 species